rnacentral:rRNA from 1 species
UACGAAGGGGGCUAGCGUUGUUCGGAAUUACUGGGCGUAAAGCGCGCGCAGGCGGCUAUCCAAGUCAGUGGUGAAAGCCCAGAGCUUAACUCCGGAACUGCCAUUGAAACUGUUUAGCUUGAGUAUGAGAGAGGUGAGUGGAAUUCCCAGUGUAGAGGUGAAAUUCGUAGAUAUUGGGAAGAACACCGGUGGCGAAGGCGGCUCACUGGCUCAUUACUGACGCUCAGGCGCGACAGCGUGGGGAUCAAACAGG